GACGAACGCUGGCGGCGUGCUUAACACAUGCAAGUCGAACGGAGUGGCGAACGUGUGAGUAACACGUUGGUGAUCUGCCUUGCACUUCGGGAUAAGCUUGGGAAACUGGGUCUAAUACCGGAUAUUGCAAGAUGAGCUCGCGGCCUAUCAGCUUGUUGGUGGGGUAAUGGCCUACCAAGGCGUCGACGGGUAGCCGGCCUGAGAGGGUGUACGGCCACAUUGGGACUGAGAUACGGACCAGACUACUACGGGAGGCAGCAGGGGGGAAGAUUGCACAAUGGGCGGAAGACUGAUGCAGCGACGCAGCGUGGGGGAUGAAGGACUUCGGGUUGUAAACGACUUUCGACAGGGACGCGGUACCUGUAGAAGAAGCACCGGCUAACUACGUGCCAGCCGCCGCGGUAAUUC
rnacentral:rRNA from 1 species